CCUGAGAAACGGCUACCACAUCCAAGGAAGGCAGCAGGCGCGCAAAUUACCCACUCCCAGAACGGGGAGGUAGUGACGAAAAAUAACAAUACGGGACUCUUUUGAGACCCCGUAAUUGGAAUGAGUACACUCUAAAUCCUUUAACGAGGAUCUAUUCGAGGGCAAGUCUGGUGCCAGCCGCCGCGGUAAUUCCAGCUCGAAUAGCGUAUAUUAAAGUUGUUGCGGUUAAAAAGCUCGUAGUUGGAUCUCAGUUCCAGACGGGUGGUCCGCCAAACGGUGGUUACUGCCCGUUCUGAACAGCCAGCCGGUUUCUCUUGAUGAUCUUCACCGGUUGUCUCGGGUGACCGGCAAGUUUACUUUGAAAAAAUUAGAGUGCUCAAAGCAGGCGCGACGCCUGAAUAAUGGUGCAUGGAAUAAUGGAAUAGGACCUCGGUUCUAUUUUGUUGGUUUUCGGAACACGAGGUAAUGAUUAAGAGGGACAGACGGGGGCAUUCGUAUUGCGACGCUAGAG
rnacentral:rRNA from 2 species